AAACUGAAGAGUUUGAUCAUGGCUCAGAUUGAACGUUGGCGGCAGGCUUAACACAUGCAAGUCGAACGAGAAAGCGCCUUCGGGCGCGAGUAAAGUGGCGGACGGGUGAGUAACGCGUAGGAACCUGCCCGGCAGAAGG
rnacentral:rRNA from 1 species